rnacentral:rRNA from 1 species
AUGAACGCUGGCGGCGUGCCUAAUACAUGCAAGUCGAGCGGCAAGGCCUCUUAGGAGGUUACUACUUGGCGGCGAGCGGCGGACGGCUGAGUAACACGUAGGGACGUACCCCAAAGUGAGGGAUAACUGCCUCAGAAAUGGUAGUCUAAUACCGCAUGUGGCUCUAGGAUUAAAGCUUCGGCGCUUUGGGAACGGCCUGCGUCUGAUUAGCUUAGAUUGGUGAGGUAAAUGGCUCACCAUGGCGACGAUCAGUAGCUGGUCUGAGAGGAUGAUCAGCCAGACUGGGACUGAGACACGGCCCAGACUCCUACGGGAGGCAGCAGUAGGGAAUUUUCCACAAUGGGCGAAAGCCUGAUGGAGCAACGCCGCGUGCAGGAUGAAUGCCUUCGGGUUGUAAACUGCUUUUAUAUGUGACGAUAUGACGGUAGCAUAUGAAUAAGGAUCGGCUAACUCCGUGCCAGCAGCCGCGGUCAUACGGAGGAUCCAAGCGUUAUCCGGAAUUACUGGGCGUAAAGAGUUGCGUAGGUGGCAUAGUAAGGAGAUAGUGAAAGCGUGUCGGCUCAACCGAUACUCACAUUAUUCGAACUGCUAAGCUAGAGGAUGAGAGAGGUAUAUGGAAUUCCCUGUGUAGGAGUGAAAUCCGUAGAUAUAGGGAGGAACACCGAUGGCGUAGGCAGUCUAACUGGCUCAUUACUGACACUAAGGCACGAAAGCGUGGGGAGCAAACGGGAUUAGAUACCCCGGUAGUCCACGCCGUAAACGAUGGAUGCUAGCUGUUAGAGGUAUCGACCCCUUCUAGUAGCGAAGCUAACGCGUUAAGCAUCCCGCCUGUGGAGUACGGUCGCAAGACUAAAACAUAAAGGAAUUGACGGGGACCCGCACAAGCGGUGGAGCGUGUUGUUUAAUUCGAUGGUAAGCGAAGAAACCUUACCCAGGCUUGACAUCCUUGGAAGGUCUCCGAAAGGAAACUGUGCCCUUCGGGAAUACAAGUGACAGGUGAUGCAUGGCCGUCGUCAGCUCGUGUCGUGAGAUGUUUGGUUAAGUCCAUCAACGAGCGCAACCCUUUAUAGUUAGUUGGAUUUUUCUAGCUAGACUGCCCUGGUAACAGGGAGGAAGGAGGGGAUGAUGUCAGGUCAGUAUUUCCCUUACGUCUGGGGCUACAAACACGCUACAAUGGCCAGGUACAAAGGGCAGCCAAGUCGCGAGCCGGAGCAAAUCCCAUCAAAGCCUGGUCUCAGUUCGGAUAGCAGGCUGAAACUCGCCUGCAUUGAAGCUGGAAUCGCUAGUAACUGGUAGGUCAGCACACUACCGUGAAUACGUUCCCGGGUCUUGUACACACCGCCCGUCAAACCAUGAAAGUCGCCAAUACCCUGACGUCCGUAGCUAGCCUAGGCCUAAGGUAGGGGAGAUGAUUGGGGUU